GACGAACGCUGGCGGCGUGCUUAACACAUGCAAGUCGAGCGGUAAGGCCCUUUCGGGGGUACGACGAGCGGCGAACGGGUGAGUAACACGUGGGUGACCUGCCCUUAGCUCUGGGAUAAGCCUGGGAAACUGGGUCUAAUACCGGAUAUGACUCCAUAACGCAUGUUGUGGGGUGAAAGCCUUGUGCGGCUAGGGAUGGGCCCGCGGCCUAUCAGCUUGUUGGUGGGGUGAUGGCCACCAAGGCGACGACGGGUAGCCGGCCUGAGAGGGCGACCGGCC
rnacentral:rRNA from 1 species